rnacentral:rRNA from 1 species
GCGACCCCAGGUCAGGCGGGAUCACCCGCUGAGUUUAG